UACAGAGGUCCCGAGCGUUGUUCGGAUUUAUUGGGCGUAAAGGGUGCGUAGGCGGCGGAGUAAGUUGGGUGUGAAAUCCCGGGGCUUAACCUCGGAAUUGCAUUCAAUACUGCUUCGCUUGAGUACUGGAGAGGAGGCUGGAAUUUACGGUGUAGCAGUGAAAUGCGCAGAUAUCAGGAGGAACACCUGCGGCGAAGGCGGGUAGCUGGGCCGACACUGACGCUGAUGCGCGAAAGCCAGGGGAGCGAACGGG
rnacentral:rRNA from 1 species